rnacentral:rRNA from 1 species
GUAGUCCACGCCCUAAACGAUGGAUACUAGUUGUCGGUUUACCUAAUUGAAUCGGUAACGGAGCUAACGCAUUAAGUAUCCCGCCUGGGAAGUACGGUCGCAAGAUUAAAACUCAAAGGAAUUGACGGGGGCCCGCACAAGCGGUGGAGCAUGUGGUUUAAUUCGAUGCUACGCGAAAAACCUUACCUGGACUUGACAUCCCGUGCUACCCCUAGAAAUAGGGGGUUCCCUUCGGGGACGCGGAGACAGGUGCUGCAUGGCUGUCGUCAGCUCGUGUUGUGAGAUGUUGGGUUAAGUCCCGCAACGAGCGCAACCCUCGCCCUUAGUUACCAUCAUUAAGUUGGGAACUCUAAGGGGACCGCUUGGCUAUAAGCCAGAG